rnacentral:lncRNA from 1 species
GGAAGAGAAGGAGGAGGAGGAGGAGGAGGAGAAAGUGGCUCUCAGCGGCCGGUCGGAUUAAAAGUAACCAGACUCGUCCAGAAAACUGCGUCCAGGAAGGAAGUGACAGAAGACGAAUGGGAAAAGGAGAACAGCUCACAGCGUUUGAAACAUCGCGGCACCACUUUCAGAUAAAAACAUAGACCUGAAUGGCAUCAUCCAGUAUCCAAGGAAACCAUUGUGUCUGUAACCAGCUAAUGAGCUGCAACAGAGCCUGGCCUUCAUUUUCAGCAAAUUAAGUUCAUCCCUCAUAGGAAUUGUGGUCUGGCUGUGGCACCGCUCCUAGGUUCUCUAAACAUGAAUAUGCCUUUGGGGGAAGACAGAAGAACAUGGAAGCCAUGUGAAAAAAACGGAUCCUAAGGCAGUUUUGAACAUCUGGAGGCCUGAUUUAUUGGAGAUUGCAAAUGUACAGUGUAACAUAGCUGUGGAGAGCGAGAAGAUCAGGAUUGUCAAUGCUGUCAUUGCUUUUACUGGAAUCCCCAGCACGAAUUGAAGAUCUCACAUGAGAUGGCAAAGAGGUCAAGACAAAAAUUCUGCAUUUGGGAAAAGAAUAACACAUGGACUUCCUCCUACAGGAUUAUAGGACUGUGUAUGUCCUACACACACAUUAUAUGUCCUACACGCACAGUGAUGAGGAGUGACAAAAUGAAGACUCCAGAAUCCUCUUUAUCAGAUCCUGAAUGUGCACUUUCUGAAGUGAAGUCCACUAUGUGCUGGGCACACAGAGAAUAGAGCAUGAAACAAAAGCAACAUGACCCUGCCCUCACCAAGACUACAGGGAGUGAUGGAGCAUACAACUUUGUUUCAGAAUGCAAUUCAGAUCUUCCCUUUCGCUUGGCUUCUUAAAACUUCUUUUGAGGAUGGUAAAAUUUCGUGUUAUAUUAAAUUUCAUCCUGUAACUGAUACUCUGGGAUGAUGUUGGCCAAUAACUAGCAAGACUUUAAAUAAUCAACUAGUUUAGGCAUUGCUUAGCACGCUCCAGCUGACUUCACAAGUAAAACCAUGUGAAGAAAGAAGGUUUUCAGGUAACACAGAUGGAGGUGAUGAUCUUUCUCAUUUUGUGGAAAAUAUUAAUUUCUCAUUUUUUAUUCACUGACAAUUAGUAAAAUUCCUUACUCUACCUAAUAUGUAGACUUCUGAACUAUGUAAGUAAAACUUUAUAGUAACUGAAAAGUUUGGGUAUUGUAUUUUCUUGGAGAAAAUGUUAGCUUCCCUCUGUUACUUUUAAAUGUUAAACUUUUAAUGAAUUUCAUCAAUGUAUAAUAAUGGGCAUAAUGAUCCACUCUGAAAUAUUUACUGUCAUUUUGAAUUUAUUCUUGAGUCAUCACAAACGUGUACAUCUCUUAUACCUUCAUGGAUGUUAUUGGUGAGAUGAUCUCUUGUUGUCAACACCUUGAGGAUAGGGACUUAUUCAGGCUCGCCUCUAGCAAGUGCUAAGUGCCUGGGAACACAUAAUAAAUAUUUCAUGAUAGGAGGAUGUUAGAAUAAGAGGAAAAACCAGAUUCUUACCCAAAUAAAUAAUAUUUAUUAUAUUCUUAUUUGUAUAUCAUUGUAACUGUAAAAAAAAGUUGCCUAGGGAUUUGUUUUAUUUGUACAAAUACUUGUUUUUUGUAUGUAAGAGUGCCAAAUAUAAAACUGCAUAACAUUUAGAAAUUACAGAAAUGUGUAUAUAUUUAUAUAGAGACAAGAAAAAUAAAAUUUUCAUUCUAUCAUAUAGAAAUAACUACAUUUGAAGUUAUUUCCCUCCUAUAUGUAAACUUUUACAUAGUUAAGUUUAUACAAUAUAUUUGCUUUCAAAACUCAUUUUCCAAUUAAACAUUAUAUCCAUUAGAAUGUUCAUGACAUCCUUUAUUUAUGCCUUAAAAUUUUUUUAAAUACGGUAAUGUAUAUGUCUACAACCAUUUCUGUUAUCUAAAAUGUGGGGCUAUUAUUAAUAAUAGUAAUUGCAGUCAUUUCCAGAGAGAGUUUGUUCUGUGCUAGACAUUGUGUACUUUUUACAACUAAUUUGUUAGGCUAGUUACUACAUUUAAUUUCAAGUGAAAGAGUUUAACAGAAGUUAAACAGGCCAGGCGCGGUGGCUCACACCUGCAAUCCCAGCACUUUGCGAGGCCGAGGUGGGCGGAUCACUUGAGGUCAGGAGUUUGAGACCAGCCUGGCCAACAUGGUGAAAACCCAUCUCUACUGUUAACACAAAAAUUAGCAGGGCAUGGUUGCAUGCACCUGUAAUCCCAGCUACUUGGGAGGCUGAGGCCGGAGAAUCGCUUAAGCCCAGAGGUGAAGGUUGCAGUGAGCCAAGAUUGCGCCAGUGCAGUCCAACCUCGGCAACAGGGCAAAGACCGUCUGCCCCUGCA